rnacentral:lncRNA from 1 species
CAAGGGUCCUGCAGUGGAGGGCACCUGAACGUGCAAGAAACAGCGAGGACGCCUGGGUGGCGGGAGCAGAGGGAGCAAGGGGUGGGAGGGGAAAAGGCGGCUGGGUCUCACAGGGUCUUGGGGCACCAGAAGGACAUUGAGUGAGAGAGAGCCACUGUGGGGCUCUGAUAUAAUCUGACCUGCGUUCCGAUAGGAUGUCCCUGGCUGCUUGUGGAGGAUAAACUGCAAGGCAGGAGCAGAGAGACCCGUGAGGAGGUGACCGCAACAAUCCGGCUAGGAAGUGCCUUGCAGCGAGGAUGUGACUUCCAACCCGCGCGGGACAACCUGUUUCUCCACCCUCCCAGCUGGAUUGUGGACACGCCUGUCAUGAAUCCUGCCUCCCCACACUGUCCUGCUGUGAAUGAGAUCAGCAAUCUUUGCUGCCCUGGUCGCUUGCAGCAAGAGACUGCUUGGCCCCUGUGCUGAGAGAGCACCCUUGCCCAGGGCAGAGAACCUCCCCUGCCCUCAGGAGGCCCGGGAAGAUUUCCUGGGCUGCCUGAGUCUAGCCAUUGCUCCCAUGAUCCAUGGCCCAUUAACAAACCACUCCAAAAUUUAGGGGCUUAAAUAGCAACCAUCAUUUACUUGGCUUACAAAUAGGCUAUUUGGGCCAGGUUCCGUGGGGGAAGGCUCAUCUCUGUCCUCACAGCAUCAGCCAGGGAGGCUUUUCUGGGGAAGGGAGUGUCUGCUGUCAAAAUCUGGCAGACAGGUUGGUGCUGGCUAUUGCCAGGGAUGUCGACUAAGAGCCUUUGGUUUCAAAUCCCAGCUCCAGCAGGUGCAGCUGGGUGAUCUUGAAAAAGUCCUUCAAUCUCUCUGUGCCCCAGUUCUCUCAUCUGUAAAGUGGGGAUUGUCGUAGCACCUAUCUUAUAGGGAAUUCACAGAGAUAAUACAUUCAAGGGAUAUAAAGCAGUGUCUGGGACAUAGUGCUCAGUAAGUAUUAAUGAUCAGUAUUAGUAUUGUGAUUUUUUCAUCGUAACGAGGAAAAACUCACAAUGCAGUAAUUAACAAUUUGUGCAUGCUUCCCCGUCUCCAUGUCUCCAUGAGUAGAGUUUUAAAGGAGGUUUUAAAAAAAGUAGCUCACUAGUAAAACUAGCUAAUAUAUGUUAAUCAUAGAAAUUUAGAAAUAGAAGAAGAAAAUUACCCUAGGUAAUUACUGUUGCUAUCUUGGGACCAUUUCUUUCCAGCGGUGGUUCUCUUUUGUUUCAUUCCCCCUUAUUUUAAAGCAGGGUUAGGAGAAGAAAGAAAGAGGAGGGGGCAAGUGUAUGAACGAACAUGCCAAGCAGAGUCAGGAGCAGAAAUUUCAAUACAUUCCAAUCCACCCGGGACAGAAAUGACUUGUUCUAAGGUUUGAAAUGACCCCCUUCUCUCAGGUGAGAAUGACCAUAACUCCAGGGGUCCCAUGAUGCGUGGAGUUCACCAUCUUCAGCAAGAAUGCGGUGUGGAUUCACAGCGGGAGUGUGUUCGCCUGUGCAUUUUACAUUUCAAACAUUUGUCACUCAAGAGCAUUGUCCAACAGACCCCUUCAGGGAACCAGGCCAGGAAACGCUGAGUUCAGAGAGGGGCUUUGAUAUCUG